AGUGAACGCUGGCGGUAGGCCUAACACAUGCAAGUCGAACGGCAGCACAGUAAGAGCUUGCUCUUACGGGUGGCGAGUGGCGGACGGGUGAGGAAUACAUCUGAAUCUACUUUUUCGUGGGGGAUAACGUAGGGAAACUUACGCUAAUACCGCAUACGACCUACGGGUGAAAGCAUGGGAUCUUCGGACCUUGCGCGAUUGAAUGAGCCGAUGUCGGAUUAGCUAGUUGGCGGGGUAAAGGCCCACCAAGGCGACGAUCCGUAGCUGGUCUGAGAGGAUGAUCGGCCACACUGGAACUGAGACACGGUCAAGACUCCUAAGGGAGGCAGCAGUGGGGAAUAUUGGACAAUGGGCGCAAGCCUGAUCCAGCCAGACCGCGUGGGUGAAGAAGGCCUUCGGGUUGUAAAGACCUUUUGUUGGGAAAGAAAAGCAGCAGGUUAAUACCACGCUGUUCUGACGGUACCCAAAGAAUAAGCACCGGCUAACUUCGUG
rnacentral:rRNA from 1 species